UUAACUCAAAUUUGUAUGGAGUUGGAACGUUUGCCUACGUUUGCCGCUAGGGGCGCUGUUCCAAUCGCAUACAAAUUUGAGUUA
rnacentral:pre_miRNA from 1 species